rnacentral:misc_RNA from 1 species
GAAAAGGUUUUGCAGGCUGGUUUGAUUCACGGUUUGAAGAAUUCCCCUUUCUCUGGGAUUUGUCUCUCCAAUAUCAACCUUCGUGGUAACCCCGGCCCACGAAAUUCCAUUUGGAAAUGCUCAGAUGUUAGCGGAGCUGCCAUUCAAGUCAGCCCUUUUCCUUGUGCAGAACUCACCAGCAGCCAAAAAACUGGUGCAUGCUCUACCUACUUCUAAGUAUGCUGUAGUAAUUCUUUGCUUCCAAUUCAAUUCAGUAUAUCACAAAAACGAAACGAAGAAUUUUCUUCAUGUUCUAAGUAAAAUUGUAAUUUCAACUUCGCACACAAUCAUAUUGUAUACAUAUUUUCCUACACACCU